GCGGCAACAGCUCAAAUUUGAAAUCUGGCUCUUUUAGAGUCCGAGUUGUAAUUUGCAGAGGGCGCUUUGGCGUUGGCAGCGGUCCAAGUUCUUUGGAACAGGACGUCACAGAGGGUGAGAAUCCCGUACGUGGUCGCUAGCCUUCGCCGUGUAAAGCCCCUUCGACGAGUCGAGUUGUUUGGGAAUGCAGCUCUAAAUGGGAGGUAAAUUUCUUCUAAAGCUAAAUACUGGCCAGAGACCGAUAGCGCACAAGUAGAGUGAUCGAAAGAUGAAAAGCACUUUGGAAAGAGAGUCAAAUAGCACGUGAAAUUGUUGAAAGGGAAGCGCUUGCAGCCAGACUUGCCUGUAGUUGCUUAUCCGGACUUUUGUCCGGUGCACUCUUCUGCGGGCAGGCCAGCAUCAGUCUAGGCGGUUGGAUAAAGGUCUCUGUCAUGUACCUCUCUUCGGGGAGGCCUUAUAGGGGAGACGACAUGCAACCAGCCUGGACUGAGGUCCGCGCAUCUGCUAGGAUGCUGGCGUAAUGGCUGUAAGCGGCCCGUCUUGAAACACGGACCAAGGAGUCUAACAUCUAUGCGAGUGUUUGGGUGUCAAGCCCAGACGCGUAAUGAAAGUGAACGGAGGUGGGAACCCUUUGGGUGCACCAUCGACCGAUCCUGAUGUCUUCGGAUGGAUUUGAGUAAGAGCAUGGCUGUUGGGACCCGAAAGAUGGUGAACUAUGCUUGAAUAGGGUGAAGCCAGAGGAAACUCUGGUGGAGGCUCGCAGCGGUUCUGACGUGCAAAUCGAUCGUCAAAUUUGGGCAUAGGGGCGAAAGACUAAUCGAACUAUCUAGUAGCUGGUUCCUGCCGAAGUUUCCCUCAGGAUAGCAGUAACGUAUUCAGUUUUAUGAGGUAAAGCGAAUGAUUAGAGGCCUGGGGGUUGAAACAACCUUCACCUAUUCUCAAACUUUAAAUAUGUAAGAAGUCCUUGUUACUUGAUUGAACGUGGACACUUGAAUGUACCGUUACUAGUGGGCCAUUUUUGGUAAGCAGAACUGGCGAUGCGGGAUGAACCGAACGCGGGGUUAAGGUGCCAGAAUAUACGCUCAUCAGACACCACAAAAGGUGUUAGUUCAUCUAGACAGCAGGACGGUGGCCAUGGAAGUCGGAAUCCGCUAAGGAGUGUGUAACAACUCACCUGCCGAAUGAACUAGCCCUGAAAAUGGAUGGCGCUCAAGCGUAUUACCCAUACCCCGCCGCCGGGGCAGAAUUUAUGCCCCGGCGAGUAGGCAGGCGUG
rnacentral:rRNA from 1 species